rnacentral:rRNA from 1 species
ACUCCUACGGGAGGCAGCAGUGGGAAUAUUGCACAAUGGGCGAAAGCCUGAUGCAGCAACGCCGCGUGAGCGAUGAAGGCCUUCGGGUCGUAAAGCUCUGUCCUAUGGGAAGAUAAUGACGGUACCAUAGGCAGGAAGCCCCGCUAACUACGUGCCAGCAGCCGCGGUAAUAGCGUAGGGGCAAGCGUAUCCGGAAUUACUGGGCGUAAAGGGUGCGUAGGCGGUUUAUCAAGUCAGGGGUGAAAGGCUACGGCUCAACCGUAGUAAGCCUCUGAAACUGGUGAACUUGAGUGUAGGAGAGGAAAGUGGAAUUCCCAGUGUAGCGGUGAAAUGCGUAGAUAUUGGGAGGAACACCAGUGGCGAAGGCGACUUUCUGGACUAUAACUGACGCUGAGGCACGAAAGCGUGGGGGAGCAAACAGGAUUAGAUACCCUGGUAGGCUCUGCU